AGCUCCACAAGACUACCCCCUUCACAUGCCAGCAGCAAAUAUGGGGCCCAAGUUACCCACAUUUCUGCCCAGCUGACUACAAAUUCUGGUUUCCAUGACCCCCUCUCAGGUGACCAGUCCGCAUCCUGAUACUAUCUCGGAGUCCCCCAGCCAAGAAUCAUCUCAUCAGCAUAAACUCAGGCAAUGUUGAAAGGCAUUCAGAAUGGUACUGGCCAUGUAACAUCCUCAGGAAAAUGGAGAAAGGAGUCACAUCAUCUUCUGUGUUUGGAGACUGCUAUGUAAGCCAGAAUACUAGUCACACAGUGCAGGUGGGAGCGGCCGGGAAGUAACCUCCUUUUUUUUUAAGACUAAUACAUUUAUG
rnacentral:lncRNA from 1 species